UUCGGCGACCAUGGCGAAGGGGAAACACCCGGUCCCAUUCCGAACCCGGCAGUUAAGCCCUUCAGCGCCGAUGGUACUGCACGCGAGAGCAUGUGGGAGAGUAGGACGUCGCCGGAC
rnacentral:rRNA from 1 species